GAAGACGAUCAGAUACCGUCGUAGUCCCGACCGUAAACGAUGCCGACCGAGGGCCCGGAGGAGUUACGUACGACCCCUCCGGGCCCUCCCGCGAGAAAUCAGGAGUAUUCGGGGUUCCGGGGGGAGUAUGGUCGCAAGGCCGAAACUUAAAGGAAUUGACGGAAGGGCACCACCAGGAGUGGAAUCUGCGGCUUAAUUUGACCCAACGCGGGAAAACUCACCAGGUCAGGACACGGUAAGGAUUGACGGACUGAAGGCUCUUUCUCGAUUCCGUGGAAAGUGGUGCAUGGCCGUUUUUGGUUGGUGGAUCGAUCCGUCUGGUUAAUUCCGUUAACGAACGAGACCUCGGCACUCCGAAUAGCGCGGCGGACGUCGCGGCCUCCGGGCCGUCUUCCGCACGAGCUUCUUAGAGGGACCGUCCCCCGCCGGGGAAGGA
rnacentral:rRNA from 1 species